UACGGAGGGAGCUAGCGUUGUUCGGAAUUACUGGGCGUAAAGCGCGCGUAGGCGGCUUUGUAAGUUAGAGGUGAAAGCCCGGGGCUCAACCCCGGAACUGCCUUUAAAACUGCAUCGCUUGAAUCCAGGAGAGGUGAGUGGAAUUCCGAGUGUAGAGGUGAAAUUCGUAGAUAUUCGGAAGAACACCAGUGGCGAAGGCGGCUCACUGGACUGGUAUUGACGCUGAUGUGCGAAAGCGUGGGGAGCAAACAGG
rnacentral:rRNA from 1 species